GUGCUGGCUUCAGCAGCACAUAUACUAAAAUUGGAACAAUAAAGAGAUUAGCACGGACCCUGUGCAAGGAUGACAUGCAAAUUUGUGAAGCAUUCCAUAUUUUU